UACGAAGGGUGCAAACGUUGCUCGGAAUCAUUGGGCGUAAAGCGCACGUAGGCGGCUUCGCAAGUCGGAUGUGAAAUCCCUCGGCUCAACCAAGGACGUGCAUUCGAAACUGCGGAGCUUGAGUGCUGAAGAGGAUCGCGGAAUUCCCGGUGUAGAGGUGAAAUGCGUAGAUAUCGGGAGGAACACCAGUGGCGAAGGCGACUACCUGGCCUGUUCUUGACGCUGAGGCGCGAAAGCUAGGGGAGCAAACGGGG
rnacentral:rRNA from 1 species